UACAGAGGGUGCAAACGUUGUUCGGAAUUACUGGGCGUAAAGCGCAUGUAGGCGGCCAAGCAGGUCGGAUGUGAAAUCCCUCGGCUCAACCAAGGAAGUGCAUUCGAAACCGCAUGGCUCGAGUCCCGGAGAGGAAGGUGGAAUUCUCGGUGUAGAGGUGAAAUUCGUAGAUAUCGAGAGGAACACCGGUGGCGAAAGCGGCCUUCUGGACGAGGACUGACGCUGAGAUGCGAAAGCGUGGGGAGCAAACAGG
rnacentral:rRNA from 1 species